rnacentral:rRNA from 1 species
GACGAACGCUGGCGGCGUGCCUAAUACAUGCAAGUCGAGCGGACCAAAGGGAGCUUGCUCCUGGAGGUUAGCGGCGAACGGGUGAGUAACACGUGGGCAACCUGCCUGUAAGACUGGGAUAACAUCGAGAAAUCGGUGCUAAUACCGGAUAAUAAAAAGAACUGCAUGGUUCUUUUUUGAAAGAUGGUUUCGGCUAUCACUUACAGAUGGGCCGCGGCGCAUUAGCUAGUUGGUGAGGUAACGGCUCACCAAGGCGACGAUGCGUAGCCGACCUGAGAGGGUGAUCGGCCACACUGGGACUGAGACACGGCCCAGACUCCUACGGGAGGCAGCAGUAGGGAAUCUUCCGCAAUGGACGAAAGUCUGACGGAGCAACGCCGCGUGAGUGAUGAAGGUUUUUCGGAUCGUAAAACUCUGUUGUUAGGGAAGAACAAGUGCCGUUCGAAAGGGCGGCACCUUGACGGUACCUAACGAGAAAGCCACGGCUAACUACGUGCCAGCAGCCGCGGU